AAUUUAAAAAAAAAGGAGCAGCUCCAUGGAGAGCUAAAACAACCAUAGCAUAUAGUCUGUAGCCUGUACAGUGGCUAUCGUCCAAGUCGCCGUCUCUCUCCUUCCACUUCAAUGGCAGUAGACCCCAAACCUAUCCCCGAAAACGCUAACAAUGGUGAGGAAGAACUUGACGAAGAAGACGAAGAAGAAAUCCAACCGGAGCUACCAAAUACUCGAACUCGAGAGUCUCGAGCACGCAUAGAACGGGAGAAACUUGAGAAUCUCUUCCGCCGGAUACAGACUGAAAGGGUGCCUCUCCGUGUCCACGAUGUCAUCAUCAAAGGGAACGCCAAGACUAAGGACUCAUUGAUCGAAGCUGAAACGGCGUUGCUUAAAGACGUUUCGUCUAUGCAAGAGUUGCUGGAGGCUUCGAAAGAUGUGAAUUUCGGGUUGCAGGCGCUUCAGGUUUUUGAUUCGGUUAGGAUUACGCUCGAUUCGGGCCCGCCGGAGCUGCCUGGGACGGCUAAUGUUAUCAUUGAAGUUGUGGAGACUAAGAGUCCACUGUCUGGAGAAGUAGGCGCGUAUACGAAAGGCGAGGCUCGAUCUUCAACAGUUGAAGGAUCAGUCAAGUACAAAAACAUAUUUGGUUAUGGGGAUAUCUGGGAUGCCUCUUUGGCAUAUGGUGGCGAUCACAUGGCUGAGGUAAGUUCUGGUGUAUAUUUGCCAAGAUUCAGAGGACUUGCUCCCAUGACAGCAAGAGUGUUCCUGCUGUCUCAAGAUUGGCUGAAAUUUUCUUCUUUCAAAGAGCGGACAUUGGGUUUCUCUCUUGGCUUAGUUUCAAGCAGGAAUCAUGACUUGGUGUACAAUCUUUCAUGGCGCACUUUGUCAGAUCCAUCACAAACGGCAUCCAGGUCAAUAAGGAGGAAGCUUGGUCAUGGGUUGCUUUCAUCCUUGAAAUACACAUUUAAGAUUGACAGGAGAAAUUCACACUUGAGGCCAACACAUGGAUAUGCUUUUGUUUCUACCACUCAAAUUGGUGGUCUUGCACCUGAUAGUCGGAGUAUACGAUUUUUGCGCCAGGAGUUUGAUCUUCGUUAUGCACUCCCUCUUGGAGUUUUGCAUUCUGCACUCAACCUUGGGAUAUCUGGUGGGCUUAUUUUUCCAUGGGGAACUGGAUUCUUAAACAUGCCUUCUCCUUUACCAGAGAGGUUCUUCUUGGGUGGUAAUUUAUCUCCAAUUUGCACUUUGGGAGGUCCAAUGGCAUUAUACGGGUUUAGGACAAGGGGACUGGGCCCUACUGAUACUCGAAGGCAAUUGCAAAGUAAUCCAACUGAUGAUAAUGCUGACCCUGGGAGAGAUUACAUUGGAGGAGACCUUGCUGUGACCGCAUUUGCAGACUUUUCUUUUGAUUUUCCCUCCAAGUGGUGUCAAUCAAAAGGAAUCCAUGGACACAUGUUUGCAUCUGCUGGAAAUAUUGACAAGUUAACAGAAAAUGCAUACCAAAAUUUCUCCUUGCAGAAAUUUGUGGAAUCAUUUCGAACUUCUGUGGGAGUUGGGGUCAUUAUUCCUACAAAUUUGUUCCGGCUGGAGUUAAACUACUGCUACAUGUUGAGGAAAUUUGAUUAUGACCAUGGGAAGUCAGGGUUCCGGGUCAGCUUCUCCACGCCUUCAUAAAUCUAGUUGGAUAUGUAAUGAUGUCUGGCAGAUUUCAGUAGACUCAGGAAAGCUUUAAUAUCAGCAAAAUGGCUGAAGCGAUAAGCAACACAGAAUCUACUGAAAACAAGAUUGGAGAUGAUACUUCAACCCUUAUAACUCAGAUCACCCUAGAAUGGCUCUUGUCACUGUACCAUUGGAUGGUUGUAAUUACCCAACUUAAAGUAGAUCCAUGGUCAUUGCGCUGAGAGCAAAAGACAAAUUGAGAAAUUGAGUUUCAUUAAUGGCAAGUGUGAAAUACCAGAAGAUGAUCUAGCCAAACAAGAGAAAUGGCAAAGGGUGGACAACAUGGUUAUCUUUUGGAUUUUAAGCUCCAUCUCCAAAGAAUUGACCGAAGCUUUUCUUUAUGCAAUAUCUGUAAUAAGAACUAUGGGAAGAACUCAAGAAAAGAUUUGGUGAAUCCAUUGCUUUAUCAACUAUUAUCAACUAAAAAGAGAGAUAAGUGUUUUUACACC